AUUAGUUCAUUCACAUCGAAAACCUGACCAUAGGGAUCCCGAGCGAAUGUUCAAGUCUUAAGGUAAACCUUAUAGUCUUUAGUUUUUUUAAUAGAAAAAUUAGUUUAUAAUUCAUAGUUUUUAUUUAGGUUUAGAUCCUGAUUCUAACUAAUGAAACAUCAGGAAUCCAUUCAUUCUAGGAUUAUUUCGCUAGAAGCUCUGAGUCACACCCACUGGAGAUAGAGGUGAUAAGAAUCUGAUUGGACAUCGUGUUAAGUACAUACCACUAAAUCGCCCAUGUGAGUCUCGGUUAAGGGUUGUGAUUGUUGAGUGUGAGGUAAGCGCCUGCAAAACAAGAGUAUUGAUUGAUGCAUGGCUAGGUUGCAUGCUUAGUAAUAUGAUGAUUAUGAUGGAUGUACUUGUGAGAAAUAUUGGGUUAUAUUAUUCGGGUUCAGCUCGGGAUGGGGGGAUAUAACAUGUUAGGGUAUUUGUGUGUAGGAUCUUUGUGAGUACUACGGAAUAAUAGAAGAACUAAUAAACAAGCAUGAAUCGAGACUAAAAGAUGUUUUAUUGAUGAUUUGAGCAAGAACUACAACGGUUGGCAUAUAAACCCUAGUUCUAGCCACCUACCUCUAAUCUAUUAGUCUAUGUAUGUCGAUCCCUUGUUCUAGGGUAUGGGUUCCCCUUAUAUAGUCGAAGAGAGGUCGGUUAGGUAGGUUAAACUCUUCCAUAUUCGGAAUUUGGAACCGGAUUCCCUCCUUGCAGGAACCUGGAGGCCAGUAUCUUGCCCGAGCCCUAGAGAAUAUUCAUACCGGUGUAUUUUUCUCCAACGUAACAUGUGAGUGAUAUAUUGAUGUCGUGAUGUAUAUACUUGUGUGAUUGCAUUAUAUUGUUCAGGCCUCGAAUCAAAGGUUAUAACAUAUUGGGCAUGUUAUAACGGGGAAAUCUGUUAGGCCACAGACUCCCGGUUAGGAGUGGUCUAUUAGGGUAGAGUUAUUGAUUCCACCUGAGUGUCGCCUUGUUCGGGGCGUACCAAAGUUAGUUCCAGACAUGAUGCGAAGAAAUGUGUGAUGGGGCUAGUUAUCCUUGACUUUGUGGCUGCAUGAUGAUGCAUCAGUGAUAUGCCUCUCCCGUCAGAUUUUUUAGACUUUGUGUGUAGGGUCUUUAUCGGUGGAUAUGAAUCUUCAGUCAGAUUUUUGAGACAUUAUGGGAGAUAAUGUAUCAUGUUGGGUUAACCAAUGGCAAGAGGCAGCCUCAAAUAUCAAUGAUAAUCUAACCACUCGUGAAAAGUAGAUGGUUGAGUUACUUAUUGUUUAUUUUUUCAUUACAUAUUGCUUGAAAUAUUUUGAUCAUUGCUGCAUGAUGACUGAUGCAUAUUAGGGGAAAUUGUUAGAGAAUCCUGACCAUUGCUCAUUAGAAUUUUUUUUUUUUUUUUGCAGGAAACCAUAGGGGUAUCUCGGGUUGAGAAGGAGCAGUGCUCCUCGCGUAGUGUUUAUGCCUUUUGCAAAUAAAUAUGUAUUGUAAUAUGUAAUUAAUAUUGAAAUUGGUGCACCUUGUAUAUUUUUGAUGUAGUUUGAACCUAAGUAUUAUAUGAUAUUAGUUCUAGUCUGGAUGAACCAACUAACGGUUUCAAACUCGGAGUGUCAAGCCUUAACUUAAAACCGUUAGGAAGCCAAUUAUGAGAGAUUUUACCUUGAGAUUGCAGAUCUGAUUUUGGAACCUCAGGUCGAUGUUUAGGCAUGUGGUAGUUGCAUCUUUGAUCUGUUUAAAUUUAUUUAGUUCAUCGUUCAUGUUUUUGUUUGAUUGUUGUACCAUAUAUUAAUCAACUUUAACUUAAACCAGAUUGGGGGUGUUAAAAUAUAGACCUGGUUCUCGACUUUGGCUAGAUUGGGGCCUUGGUCUUUCUCGACCAGCUCACCAUAUGGCCAGUUGGGUUGAUCUUGUCCAACUCACCGUAUGGCGACUAUGAUUGCACCUUAUCAACGUCAUGCACUCUCGUCUCGUCUUCGUAGUUUUCCCCUUUUAGCCUUGGCUAUACUGUCUCUUGUUUCGUUUUGAUUGAAGUUACCGUUGAAACUUUACAAUAAAAACCGCAAAGACUUGUUUCUCGAAUCAAUCAUAUAAAACGAUAACAGUUAACUUAACACCAUAGUUGUCUCGAUUAUACGAUUGGUUUCCGCUAUUUCGUAAAACCAACAUCGUACAGAAGGCGAUUUCUUCAAAAGAAAUAGUAAAAGCGUUUUAGUCGAAAAACGGUCCAAAGGGGUCUAAAACGCGGCAAAAGCCCACUUACGAUUUCAUUAUGAGAAUCAGCCCAAUAUCACCGUGACAGUUUAUGGAAUAUUCACGAAAGAUGAUAAAUAUCAAGUUUCAAGAGAUAAUCGUGAAGAUCAAGAAAAAUGGAAUAUUUUUUCGAGAAGAUAACCUCGACCUAGGAGCAGAAAAGGGAAGCCAAAACCGACCUAUAAGGAGUAUAUAAGGGAUUCCAAUGCGAGAGGCGCAUGGAACGAUUCUUUAAGACUCUAGAACUGCCUUGCACUUAGAAAACUUAGGCUUUAUUCUCGACAAAUUUGGUUUCUAUGACUUACACUCAUACUAGACGAACUCGCUCAGGCAGUUCGAUCUCUUGUUCAAAUAUUUCUAAUUGAACUACGUUCGACUUCAUCCUUGAAAAGAGUACGUAGGCAACCUUUCAUAAGGUCCAGUCCCAAAUCUUACAAAACCUUUUCGUCUUUUUCGUCUAUUGCUAAGCGAGUUGCGGCCACAUAGGUUUUUCUCGACACAUGUGGUAAUGCUAUCAAACUUAGUCUCGUUUAAUUUCUCGUGUUGUACGUUUUCCUUUGUAAUCAUGUUUCCAGACAACUUUUGUCUCUGGAACGCUUAUACACAAAUUCGAAAUAAAGAUCUAUUAUCCGUUUUGUUAUCUUUCCAUUUUUCCGCUUUUAUUUGGUCAGUUAUCGUUGGCUCUCGUUGAGAAUUCGGACUUCAAGAAAAGUAAGGUUUUCUUUGCUUUCCUCCAUUCACUAAAAUCUACAGUGUGAAUUUCGGUUUCCACAUGAACAACUCCUCCAGAUUUUCAUUCUCUAAAGGAUAAUUGUAUCUUCUAUAUCAUUAUCUUUAUAGUGAAUAUUCACAUACUUAUAAAAAGAAAAAAAUAUAUGUACUCAAUAUGACCUCUUAUAAAAAUACAUAACUCAAACAAUUUGUGACAAUCUAAUUGUGGGAUGAAGACAAAUCUAUCUAUUUUUUUAGCGUUGUUGAAGACUAAACAACUUUAAGCUUUCUUGCAUGUGCACUAAAUAACUUUUCUUUUUAAAUCGUUUGAGCAUUUUCCAUGAAAAAAUAUGCUACUCUUAAAAUCAUUAUUGUACAAAGGAGAAAUAGUGAAAAGUUGACUGUAAGUGUCCCACGUAAGACAACUGGAGACAUUUUCUUAGAAACUGACUUGGCUUUUUUAUCCCCGGAGACCCAUAAGGCAAAAAGUCUUCCUUUUUUAUCCAACAUUCUAAUAACGAAAAUUUAAGAAACCAAAUUCGCCGCCAAAUGAAAAAUAAAAACAAUAAAUUUAAUAUUUCAGUGACGAGGACAAACCAUGAUCCAGAAAUAAAAACAAGCGUAUGC